AGAGUUUGAUCCUGGCUCAGAACGAACGCUGGCGGCGUGGAUAAGACAUGCAAGUCGAGCGAGAUUUUUUCCUGUAGCAAUACAGGGAAAAGUCUAGCGGCGAACGGGUGCUUAACACGUGGGCAACCUGCCGAGAAGUGGGGGAUAGCUCGCCGAAAGGCGAAUUAAUACCGCAUGUGAUUAGAGAGGACAUCCUUUCGAAAUUAAAGUCGGGGCAACCUGACGCUUUUUGUGGGGCCCGCGGCCUAUCAGCUAGUUGGUGAGGUAACGGCCCACCAAGGCUUUGACGGGUAGCUGGUCUGAGAGGACGACCAGCCACACUGGGACUGAGACACGGCCCAGACACCUACGGGUGGCAGCAGUCGAGAAUUUUUCUCAAUGGGGGAAACCCUGAAGGAGCGACGCCGCGUGGAGGAUGAAGGUCUUCGGAUUGUAAACUCCUGUCAUUGGGGAACAAGGUGCAUACGUUAACUGCGUGUGCAUUGAUAGUACCCGAAGAGGAAGAGACGGCUAACUCUGUGCCAGCAGCCGCGGUAAUACAGAGGUCUCAAGCGUUGUUCGGAUUCAUUGGGCGUAAAGGGUGCGUAGGCGGCGCGGUAAGUCGGGUGUGAAAUCUUGGAGCUUAACUCCGAAACUGCAUUCGAUACUGCCGUGCUUGAGGACUGGAGAGGAGACUGGAAUUUACGGUGUAGCGGUGAAAUGCGUAGAUAUCGUAAGGAAGACCAGUGGCGAAGGCGGGUCUCUGGACAGUUCCUGACGCUGAGGCACGAAGGUCAGGGGAGCAAACGGGAUUAGAUACCCCAGUAGUCC
rnacentral:rRNA from 1 species